rnacentral:rRNA from 1 species
GCAAAACGCGAAGAACCUUACCAAGGCUUGACAUGCAUCUCUAAGCGCGUGAAAGCGCGUGACCCUUCGGGGGAUUUGCACAGGUGCUGCAUGGCCGUCGUCAGCUCGUGUCGUGAGAUGUUGGGUUAAGUCCCGCAACGAGCGCAACCCUUGUGACUAGUUGCCAGCACGUUAUGGUGGGAACUCUAGUCAGACUGCCCAGAUCAACUGGGAGGAAGGUGGGGACGACGUCAGGUCAGUAUGGCCCUUACGCCUUGGGCUGCACACGUACUACAAUGCCCAGUACAAUGAGAACCGAGACCGCGAGGUGGAGGAAAUCUAAAAAACUGGGCCCAGUUCGGAUUGGAGGCUGCAACUCGCCUCCAUGAAGUUGGAAUCGCUAGUAAUGGCGCAUCAUCUACGGCGCCGUGAAUACGUUCCCGGGUCUUGUACACACCG